rnacentral:rRNA from 1 species
CCUACGGGAGGCAGCAGUGGGGAAUAUUGCGCAAUGGGCGAAAGCCUGACGCAGCGACGCCGCGUGAGGGAUGAAGGUCUUCGGAUCGUAAACCUCUGUCAGCAGGGAAGAACGGUCACUGUGCUAAUCAGCAGUGAAUUGACGGUACCUGCAAAGGAAGCACCGGCUAACUCCGUGCCAGCAGCCGCGGUAAUACGGAGGGUGCGAGCGUUAAUCGGAAUUACUGGGCGUAAAGCGCUCGUAGGCGGUAUGUUAAGUCAAGAGUGAAAUCCCCGGGCUCAACGGGGGAAGUGCCGUUGAAACUGGCAAACUUGAGUGGGUGAGAGGAUAGUGGAAUUCGAGGUGUAGGAGUGAAAUGCGUAGAUAUCUGGAAGAACAUCAGUGGCGAAGGCGACUAUCUGGCACAUAACUGACGCUGAGGAGCGAAAGCGUGGGUAGCGAACAGGAUUAGAUACCCCAGUAGUC